rnacentral:rRNA from 1 species
CUGCUGCCUCCCGUAGGAGUCUGGACCGUCUCUCAGUUCCAAUGUGGCCGUUCAACCUCUCAGUCCGGCUACUGAUCGUCGACUUGGUGAGCCGUUACCUCACCAACUAUCUAAUCAGACAUGAGCCCAUCUUUCAGCGGAUUGCUCCUUUGAUAACAGGAUCAUGCGAUCCCGUCAUUUCAUGCGGUAUUAGCACACCUUUCGAUGUGUUAUCCCCCUNUGAAAGGCAAGUUG